rnacentral:rRNA from 1 species
AAUCUGCGAUAAGCGUCGGUAAGGUGAUAUGAACCGUUAUAACCGGCGAUUUCCGAAUGGGGAAACCCAGUGUGUUUCGACACACUAUCAUUAACUGAAUCCAUAGGUUAAUGAGGCGAACCGGGGGAACUGAAACAUCUAAGUACCCCGAGGAAAAGAAAUCAACCGAGAUUCCCCCAGUAGCGGCGAGCGAACGGGGAGCAGCCCAGAGCCUGAAUCAGUGUGUGUGUUAGUGGAAGCGUCUGGAAAGGCGCGCGAUACAGGGUGACAGCCCCGUACACAAAAAUGCACAUGCUGUGAGCUCGAUGAGUAGGGCGGGACACGUGGUAUCCUGUCUGAAUAUGGGGGGACCAUCCUCCAAGGCUAAAUACUCCUGACUGACCGAUAGUGAACCAGUACCGUGAGGGAAAGGCGAAAAGAACCCCGGCGAGGGGAGUGAAAAAGAACCUGAAACCGUGUACGUACAAGCAGUGGGAGCCUCUUUUAUGGGGUGACUGCGUACCUUUUGUAUAAUGGGUCAGCGACUUAUAUUCUGUAGCAAGGUUAACCGAAUAGGGGAGCCGAAGGGAAACCGAGUCUUAACUGGGCGUUAAGUUGCAGGGUAUAGACCCGAAACCCGGUGAUCUAGCCAUGGGCAGGUUGAAGGUUGGGUAACACUAACUGGAGGACCGAACCGACUAAUGUUGAAAAAUUAGCGGAUGACUUGUGGCUGGGGGUGAAAGGCCAAUCAAACCGGGAGAUAGCUGGUUCUCCCCGAAAGCUAUUUAGGUAGCGCCUCGUGAAUUCAUCUCCGGGGGUAGAGCACUGUUUCGGCAAGGGGGUCAUCCCGACUUACCAACCCGAUGCAAACUGCGAAUACCGGAGAAUGUUAUCACGGGAGACACACGGCGGGUGCUAACGUCCGUCGUGAAGAGGGAAACAACCCAGACCGCCAGCUAAGGUCCCAAAGUCAUGGUUAAGUGGGAAACGAUGUGGGAAGGCCCAGACAGCCAGGAUGUUGGCUUAGAAGCAGCCAUCAUUUAAAGAAAGCGUAAUAGCUCACUGGUCGAGUCGGCCUGCGCGGAAGAUGUAACGGGGCUAAACCAUGCACCGAAGCUGCGGCAGCGACGCUGAUGCGUUGUUGGGUAGGGGAGCGUUCUGUAAGCCUGUGAAGGUGUGCUGUGAGGCAUGCUGGAGGUAUCAGAAGUGCGAAUGCUGACAUAAGUAACGAUAAAGCGGGUGAAAAGCCCGCUCGCCGGAAGACCAAGGGUUCCUGUCCAACGUUAAUCGGGGCAGGGUGAGUCGACCCCUAAGGCGAGGCCGAAAGGCGUAGUCGAUGGGAAACAGGUUAAUAUUCCUGUACUUGGUGUUACUGCGAAGGGGGGACGGAGAAGGCUAUGUUGGCCGGGCGACGGUUGUCCCGGUUUAAGCGUGUAGGCUGGUUUUCCAGGCAAAUCCGGAAAAUCAAGGCUGAGGCGUGAUGACGAGGCACUACGGUGCUGAAGCAACAAAUGCCCUGCUUCCAGGAAAAGCCUCUAAGCAUCAGGUAACAUCAAAUCGUACCCCAAACCGACACAGGUGGUCAGGUAGAGAAUACCAAGGCGCUUGAGAGAACUCGGGUGAAGGAACUAGGCAAAAUGGUGCCGUAACUUCGGGAGAAGGCACGCUGAUAUGUAGGUGAAGUCCCUCGCGGAUGGAGCUGAAAUCAGUCGAAGAUACCAGCUGGCUGCAACUGUUUAUUAAAAACACAGCACUGUGCAAACACGAAAGUGGACGUAUACGGUGUGACGCCUGCCCGGUGCCGGAAGGUUAAUUGAUGGGGUCAGCGCAAGCGAAGCUCUUGAUCGAAGCCCCGGUAAACGGCGGCCGUAACUAUAACGGUCCUAAGGUAGCGAAAUUCCUUGUCGGGUAAGUUCCGACCUGCACGAAUGGCGUAAUGAUGGCCAGGCUGUCUCCACCCGAGACUCAGUGAAAUUGAACUCGCUGUGAAGAUGCAGUGUACCCGCGGCAAGACGGAAAGACCCCGUGAACCUUUACUAUAGCUUGACACUGAACAUUGAGCCUUGAUGUGUAGGAUAGGUGGGAGGCUUUGAAGUGUGGACGCCAGUCUGCAUGGAGCCGACCUUGAAAUACCACCCUUUAAUGUUUGAUGUUCUAACGUUGACCCGUAAUCCGGGUUGCGGACAGUGUCUGGUGGGUAGUUUGACUGGGGCGGUCUCCUCCUAAAGAGUAACGGAGGAGCACGAAGGUUGGCUAAUCCUGGUCGGACAUCAGGAGGUUAGUGCAAUGGCAUAAGCCAGCUUGACUGCGAGCGUGACGGCGCGAGCAGGUGCGAAAGCAGGUCAUAGUGAUCCGGUGGUUCUGAAUGGAAGGGCCAUCGCUCAACGGAUAAAAGGUACUCCGGGGAUAACAGGCUGAUACCGCCCAAGAGUUCAUAUCGACGGCGGUGUUUGGCACCUCGAUGUCGGCUCAUCACAUCCUGGGGCUGAAGUAGGUCCCAAGGGUAUGGCUGUUCGCCAUUUAAAGUGGUACGCGAGCUGGGUUUAGAACGUCGUGAGACAGUUCGGUCCCUAUCUGCCGUGGGCGCUGGAGAACUGAAGGGGGCUGCUCCUAGUACGAGAGGACCGGAGUGGACGCAUCACUGGUGUUCGGGUUGUCAUGCCAAUGGCACUGCCCGGUAGCUAAAUGCGGAAGAGAUAAGUGCUGAAAGCAUCUAAGCACGAAACUUGCCCCGAGAUGAGUUCUCCCUGACUCCUUGAGAGUCCUAAAGGAACGUUGAAGACGACGACGUUGAUAGGCCGGGUGUGUAAGCGCAGCGAUGCGUUGAGCUAACCGGUACUAAUGAACCGUGAGGCUUAACCU